rnacentral:rRNA from 1 species
CCUACGGGGGCAGCAGUGGGGAAUUUUGGACAAUGGGCGCAAGCCUGAUCCAGCCAUGCCGCGUGUGGGAAGAAGGCCUUCGGGUUGUAAACCACUUUUGUCAGGGAAGAAACGGUCUGAACUAAUACUUUGGACUAAUGACGGUACCUGAAGAAUAAGCACCGGCUAACUACGUGCCAGCAGCCGCGGUAAUACGUAGGGUGCAAGCGUUAAUCGGAAUUACUGGGCGUAAAGCGUGCGCAGGCGGCUUUGCAAGACAGAUGUGAAAUCCCCGGGCUCAACCUGGGAACUGCAUUUGUGACUGCAUGGCUAGAGUACGGUAGAGGGGGAUGGAAUUCCGCGUGUAGCAGUGAAAUGCGUAGAUAUGCGGAGGAACACCGAUGGCGAAGGCAAUCCCCUGGACCUGUACUGACGCUCAUGCACGAAAGCGUGGGGAGCAAACAGGAUUAGAUACCCUGGUAGUCCACGCCCUAAACGAUGUCAACUGGUUGUUGGGAGGGUUUCUUCUCAGUAACGAAGCUAACGCGUGAAGUUGACCGCCUGGGGAGUCGGCCGCAAGGUUGAAACUUCAAAUUGAAUUGACGGNGNGNGAGNGCGAGCGACGACGAGGGAGAGG